CAAUAGCGUAUAUUAAAGUUGUUGCGGUUAAAAAGCUCGUAGUUGGAUUUCUGCUGAGGACGACCGGUCCGCCCUCUGGGUGAGUAUCUGGCUCGGCCUUGGCAUCUUCUUGGAGAACGUUGCUGCACUUGACUGUGUGGCGCGGUAUCCAGGACAUUUACUUUGAGGAAAUUAGAGUGUUUCAAGCAGGCAUACGCCUUGAAUACAUUAGCAUGGAAUAAUAAGAUAGGACCUCGGUUCUAUUUUGUUGGUUUCUAGAGCUGAGGUAAUGAUUAAUAGGGAUAGUUGGGGGCAUUCGUAUUUAACUGUCAGAGGUGAAAUUCUUGGAUUUGUUAAAGACGGACUACUGCGAANGNAUUUGGNAAGGAUGUUUNCAUUG
rnacentral:rRNA from 1 species